UACAGAGGUCUCAAGCGUUGUUCGGAUUCAUUGGGCGUAAAGGGUGCGUAGGUGGCGCCGUAAGUCGGGUGUGAAAUUUCGGAGCUUAACUCCGAAACUGCAUUCGAUACGGGCAGGCUAGAGUGUGGUAGGGAGAUCGGAAUUCCUGGUGUAGCGGUGAAAUGCGCAGAUAUCAGGAGGAACACCGGUGGCGAAGGCGGAUCUCUGGGCCAUUACUGACGCUGAGGAGCGAAAGCGUGGGAGCGAACAGG
rnacentral:rRNA from 1 species